UUUAGGUAUUUUUCUUUUUUGAGAAAAUUUUAGGUUACAAUUAUAACAUUAAGAAUUCUUCAAGAAUAAAGAGCAGCCAAUCACAAUGCAUUAUUUGUCACAAUUCAAGGAGGUAUUGCUGAAAAUUAGGAAGUGAACAAAUAAAUCAUGCAAUUAAAACUUGCCAGUUGUGUCUUGAAAAAUUCGUGAUGCUAUUUUUCUAGAGAAAUAGCAUUUUCUGUAUUCAAAAUUAUUUUUGUAAACAUAUUUUAAAAAAUUUAAAAAGUGCUCGGAAACAAAAUACAUUUAAACUGACUCGAAAUCCAAGAUGUUCAAAGAGAGCGUUAACUAAGCUCCUACUUGAACCUCUCUCUCUACAACUCUACUGUAAGCUCCCACUUGAAGCUUUCCGCCGUUCUCCUUCCUCCUCUCCUUUUUUUUCAUCAAAUUGCUCCGACGAGAUGUAGAUUCGUUUGCGGUGGUGCGAUGAGUACCUUUGUCCUCCGCACCACCUUUUAGUCGUCAGAUCUUCCGGUGGCGCCGCUUGUUUUCUUCUUUUCCAGAGGUCUGGCAUAUGAGUUCGUAUAACGCGUUGGUGUGUGGUUCGAUCACCAUCGCGUGUGUUCUGAUCGGUGGACACUUUGUUCGUCGUGGCCUGUUUUCUGUUGUUGUCGAUCACCCAAACAAGGGUAGUCCUCACAACCGUCGGCGCCACCGCGAUUUGUCCUAAAGUUUUUCUCCUUAUUGUUUUUUAAAGGAAGUUGUUGUUGGUUUUUCUCCUUAUUAUUUUAUUAUGUUUGUUUGUAUAAUUUUGAUUAAAAUUUUAAAAUAUUAAUGAAUAUUAUUGAUUUAUAAACAAAAUAUUUUCAAGGCAUAUAACAAAAUUAUUUAUGAACUCAACAUAUUUUAGUUUGCCUGCAUAUAAAAUAAAGAUAAAAUAAUAAUCAUUUAUUGUUUAUUCUAACAGUAAUUAGUAAC
rnacentral:lncRNA from 1 species